rnacentral:rRNA from 1 species
CUGAAACAUCUAAGUACCCCGAGGAAAAGAAAUCAACCGAGAUUCCCCCAGUAGCGGCGAGCGAACGGGGAGCAGCCCAGAGCCUGAAUCAGUGUGUGUGUUAGUGGAAGCGUCUGGAAAGGCGCGCGAUACAGGGUGACAGCCCCGUACACAAAAAUGCACAUGCUGUGAGCUCGAUGAGUAGGGCGGGACACGUGGUAUCCUGUCUGAAUAUGGGGGGACCAUCCUCCAAGGCUAAAUACUCCUGACUGACCGAUAGUGAACCAGUACCGUGAGGGAAAGGCGAAAAGAACCCCGGCGAGGGGAGUGAAAAAGAACCUGAAACCGUGUACGUACAAGCAGUGGGAGCACAGAGCAAUCUGUGUGACUGCGUACCUUUUGUAUAAUGGGUCAGCGACUUAUAUUCUGUAGCAAGGUUAACCGAAUAGGGGAGCCGAAGGGAAACCGAGUCUUAACUGGGCGUUAAGUUGCAGGGUAUAGACCCGAAACCCGGUGAUCUAGCCAUGGGCAGGUUGAAGGUUGGGUAACACUAACUGGAGGACCGAACCGACUAAUGUUGAAAAAUUAGCGGAUGACUUGUGGCUGGGGGUGAAAGGCCAAUCAAACCGGGAGAUAGCUGGUUCUCCCCGAAAGCUAUUUAGGUAGCGCCUCGUGAAUUCAUCUCCGGGGGUAGAGCACUGUUUCGGCAAGGGGGUCAUCCCGACUUACCAACCCGAUGCAAACUGCGAAUACCGGAGAAUGUUAUCACGGGAGACACACGGCGGGUGCUA